UGCACUGUAUGGUAUCUGCACCCAGUGGCCUUUUCCCGUUGAGGUGUUCAUUAAACAGUGCAACACUAACUCUGCGACUGGCAUCGUUGGUUUGCAGGCCUUUCGUGUUUGUAAACCUGGUUUUUAUGCAGAAACAGUA